UGUUGCUUGUUCAGUUGUUGUAAAUGUACAUAAAUGGGAAAAUAAAUUGUUAUCAAUGAAUUACCCGAUUCAUAAAUAAUAUUAAAUAUUCAUACAUGUAUCAAUUAUAAGUUUUUUUUAUAAAUAUGUUAAAUAACGUAUUACUUUCUUCGGACGUUGCGCUAGUUUGUGUUCAACAUGCGUUAUCCACAGAAAAAGAAGAAAUUAUGGGCCUUCUUAUUGGGGAGGUACACAACAAAGGUACUGUGGUUUCGAUAGUGUCUUCUGUAAUUUUACGACGCUUGGAUAAAAAGCCCGAUCGUGUUGAAAUAUCUGAAGAGCAGUUAGUGCAAGCUACUUUGCGUGCUGAAGAAUUAGCAGCCGAAGUCAAUCGGCCACUAAGAGUAGUAGGAUGGUACCAUUCCCACCCCCAUAUCACAGUGUGGCCUUCACAUGUCGAUCUUGCAACACAGUCUAUGUACCAGAGAAUGGAUAGCAGCUUUGUUGGGCUUAUAUUUGCAGUAUUUCUCUCAGAUCAGACAACAAAGGCUCCUUCUAUUCAAAUAACCUGUUUCCAAUCCGUAAAUGAUGGCUCAAGUCAGAGUAGAAAAGAAAUUAAAUUGGAAGUUAUAAAUAAUAAUGACCCUUUAUUGUCAAACAAUUUUGAGACAUUGACACAACUGCCAGCAAUACUAAAAGAGGAGGAAGAUGAAGCUUUUGGCAGUAAAGCGGAAACAAAUGAUAUUGAUGACAUAAUAAACCGACAACAUAAUGCAGCAGUCAGAACUAUAGCAAUUGGACAUAUAGUUGAUAAGAUGUCCAGACCCAUGUUGGAAGGCCUUGUAGCAAGAAAUACUCUUAAUAUGGUACGCUUGAAAGCACUAAAAAGGCAACACCAGGAAAUGAUGUCUAAGCUAGAAAAUAUGUCUUGCAAUGUUUAAUUAUUUUUAUUUGAUAUGACACUUUUGUGUUUCCCAUUCAUUGUUACUUAUGAAUGAUUGUUUACACAUAUUCAUUUAACUUGGUCAAAACAUGUAUAUAUACAAAAGUCCCAUGAACAUUAAAACUUGAGUAACCUUUUGACCACCAGAAUAAUGUAUUUUUUUACUUGAUUCAAUGACUAAAGGACAACUCAUUCAAGUUGUUGAAUGUAACAUUCAAUGCCUUAACUUAACGUCAGUUUAAAACAGGAUAUAGCAGACUUUAUAAUAUUUGUUUAGGAUGAGUUUGGGGGAGUUGCCCCUCCCCACUAAUACCGCUCCAAAGACAAGGUAACCUACCAGAAAAACUAGUUUUCACAUUCUUAUUUCAAGACACUUAUAAGUUACCUGACAUGAACAAUAUUGGCUAACUAGUUGGAUCUUGAGUGACGCUUGUUCAUAAUAAGCCAAAAAGUGCCCAGCACGCCACAAUCACGACGACGUGACAUAAAAAGCUUUACUUUUUAUUUUCUUUAUUAAUUGACCUUCUUUAUAAUUUUUUUUAUCCUCUCGUCUGUUGAAAGUUGCGGGUA